AAAUAAAAAAGAAUAACCAUUGUUGUCUAAUGAUAUUUUGGGGUGGCAAAAGAACAUGAUAGAGUCGUGUGUAUAAUAAAUAACUCGGUUGAAGUCACACUGUGUUCAGUUGAGGUUGGGGGUGUAAAUAAUAAAUAAAUAAAUAAAAAGAGUAUGGCAGAAAUGAAAGGCGAGCAGAGAGUGGAUGUUGCGGAAGCGGUAGUUAUGGUUCCCGCCAAAGAGAAAGUAGUGCCUAACAACCCAAAGCGCGUUGCGUCGCUUGACAUCUUCCGAGGUCUCACUGUUGCGCUUAUGAUCUUGGUUGAUGAUGCUGGAGGACAAUGGCCAGUGAUUGCUCAUGCGCCAUGGAAUGGCUGCAAUCUUGCUGAUUUUGUCAUGCCUUUCUUUUUGUUCAUUGUUGGGAUGGCCAUUCCACUCUCUCUCAAGAAAAUACCAAAUAAACUUGUAGCUGUUAAAAGGGUGAUAGUUAGAACACUCAAACUCCUCUUCUGGGGUCUGCUCUUACAAGGUGGUUUCUCACAUGCACCUGACGAUCUAUCAUACGGAGUUGACAUGAAACACAUAAGGUGGUGUGGCAUUCUUCAGAGAAUUGCUCUGGCAUAUUUGGUUGUGGCACUGGUGGAGAUAUUUUCGAGAAGUAGACAAGAUAGAGAUCAGGAACACACUAACCUCUCAAUAUUUAAGUUGUACUAUUGGCAUUGGCUGGUAGGGGCGUGUAUACUUACUGUUUACAUGGCUUUACUUUAUGGGAUACAUGUUCCAGAUUGGCAAUUCACUGUCCAUAAUCCAGACAGCAUAUACAAUGGCACAACUUUCACCGUGACAUGUGGUGUCAGAGGGAAACUUGACCCUCCAUGUAAUGCUGUGGGAUAUAUUGACAGAGAGGUGCUUGGAAUUAAUCAUGUGUAUAAGAAACCAGCUUGGAGAAGAUCUGAAGCUUGCACUGUGAAACCCCCAUAUGAAGGGCAUUUUAAAAAAACUGCUCCUGCAUGGUGUUAUGCUCCUUUUGAACCAGAAGGAAUUUUAAGCUCAAUAUCUGCUAUUCUAUCCACGAUCAUCGGAUUGCAUUAUGGACAUGUACUUGUACACUUGCAGAAUCAUCCUUCUAGAUUAAAGCAAUGGCUUCUCCUAGGCGUAGCUCUCCUUACUUCAGGAUUUGUUCUUCAUUUCACACAUGCCAUUCCUUUGAAUAAACAGUUGUACACACUUAGCUAUAUUUGCGUAACGUCUGGUGCUGCAGCGUUAGUUUUUUCAGCCUUCUAUAUAAUGGUAUAUUUCUGAAUCUCUAAGGUUGAUAUUUGGGGAUUAAAAUUAUUGUUCAUACCUUUAAAAUGGAUUGGCAUGAAUGCUAUGCUUGUCUAUGUCAUGGCAGCUGAGGGAAUCUUUGCUGGAUUCAUUAAUGGGUGGUAUUAUGGUGACCCUCAUAAUACACUGACGUAUUGGAUCCAAGAGCAUGUCUUCAUUAGAGUUUGGCAUUCAACGAGAGUAGGCAUCCUACUGUAUGUGAUAUUCGCCGAGAUCCUAUUCUGGGCUGUCAUAGCAGGCAUUUUGCACCAAUUGGGCAUAUAUUGGAAGCUUUGAAUUAUAUAAAUAAGAACUUGCAUGGUCUUUUUAAUUUAUUUCCGUGUUUUUGCUGAAUGUUCAAUUUGAUUAAUAACCGGAGACAGCUUACCAAACAUAAUUGAUACUUGUUAGAUAUGUUAUUUGAUGUAUAAAAAAUGUAAUCAUGUGUUGGUUAAAACCUAAUCAUCCAAUUCCAGCAAUCCAAUUUGAACGUA